rnacentral:lncRNA from 1 species
AUCGGUCUCGGGGUCUACCGAAGAGAAGAGGGGGAAGAAACAGUAAAUAUAAAGCAAACAUAGCAUCACAAAGCAUAAUGUGGCAAUAUGUUGUGUCGGGUGUGACUUAACGUAUGGCUACACGAUAUAGGUGAAGGGGCGAAACAACCGGGAAUGUUUUCCCGGUUCCGGACCUGUGUCAAACAGAUGACCGGAGGGGGAAAGUACCAUGUUCAGAUAGUUAGAGGCAUCUGACAUGUAUGUGGGUAGCGUAUUCGGGUUCGUCUCGUCGUUCUGGGCAACUUUCAUGUAUAAAGUUUUUCGAUCCGAGCUACGGUUUAUUUUCUAUUAAUUUUCAAAGAUUUAAACAAUUUCUGAAAUUAUUAUUAAUUCGGAAAAAAAAACUGGAAUUUGCCAUGGGUACACAGAGUGUAAUCCAGCCAGGGUGUCUGACAAGUGGGGCCAGUCAAAGUCAACAUAGUUGAUGUUGACUUGGUCAGAAGUGAACAGUGCAGGAGGGUCCCAUAUGUCAUUGACUUAGACAUUUUUUAUAAAACUGAUUUUAUUUAAACUAACUGUAGAUCCACGUGUCACCGGCUAUUAGACUAACUUAGCACUAACUUUAAUCAUAAACUAAACUAGUCCUAAUUAACACAAGGGCCGGCCACACACUGCCGGGGGCCGUGGCCAAGCUGGCCACACACACAAGCACGCAACACACGAUGCUAGGAGUCAAUUCUGUUGUUUUGCUAACAGAAGAUAGCAUUUUCUGAAUUUUGUAGGAUUUAAACCAUGCAUCGAAAGGAUUUGGUCCAGUGGGAUAAAAUAAAAUUUGUCAAGUAUACAUUCUACUCAUAUUAUUUCUAGGCCUGUUAGUAGUUGUUUAACCGCUGAUCAGAGGCUGUCAAGGGGGUUAGUCAGUGUAAAAACUGAAAAGCUAGCUAGUAGCCGCUACAGUAACUAGCAUCAGCAGUACAACAAGCAGCGCUCGGCCGUAGCAACCAGUAGCGCAGCCGCAGCAAUGGGCAGGCGAGGGGGAGCAGCGCCGGGCGCGGCUGCGGCGCAGGCAGUGGCUCCGCGGGGGCGACGGCAAGCGGCAGUGGCAGCAUCAGGCGACAGCAGCAGUAUGCAGAGCAACAGCGGCAGUACAAGCAAGCGGCGGAGGCGCAAGCAGUAGUGGCAAGCAGCAACAGCAGCAUGGCGCGAUCGUAGCGGCAGGGCCGGGCCGCGGACAAGCCCGGGCACACGCGCGUGAGGGCGCGGGCAGGGUGCGCUCGAACGGCCGGACGACGCCGUGUCGAAUGGCGGUGGUGCGACAUGUUGCGGUGGCUGGAACUGAGCACUACGGGGCUCAACAAAGCGCGAGGGAGGGGUGCAACGGGCCCGCACGGACGUGCUGAGCACGAUCCCGAGCUCAUCUGAGCUCGACGGGGAGCAACGACAUGGCUUCGAGCACACCGGCGGAAGCAGAGGCACGGCAACGGCGGCGAACUAGCUAGGGACGAAUGCAGCCACGGGAAGAAGGAAUGGAGGGAGAGAGGAGCUCACCGAGCGGCCAAGAAAGGCCGUCGACAGCUUUGUAGCAGCAGGGGAUGACGAAGACGGCGGCGGUCACCGGCGACGCAGAAGACGGAGACGAGCUCGAUCCGCUCGAUGCCGAGCCCGUCGUCUCCAGUGGCUCGGCUCAGGCGAUGCAGCGGAGGACGACGAAGCUCCGUGACAUCUCGCCGGGGCUCGGGGUCGUCGGAGAGCGCGGGAUCGACGGCGGUGAGCGGCGGAGGCUAUCGGGAGUGGGCGGAUCUAGCGAGGGGAAAAGGAGGAAUGCAGUGAGGGCGCUAGGGUUCGUCAAGGGGGG